UUCUCUCUUUCAUCAUCACCAUGCUUCCUGUACGUAUCCUGUUCCUGUACUCCCAGACCAGCGUGCUUGUAGAUUCUACUCCCAGCUCUGGAAGGGAGAGCAAAGCCCAGAGAUCCACUCCUCCUGUCGUAGGCAAACCAUCAUAAACAGCAGUGCAAGAACUCUGAAGACAAGAUUGGCUGGUUUCGCUUCUCCCUCACCCUGGAUCCCUUAUAGGAAUCACAGAUGGAUGAUUUGAGAUGAGCCUUAAAGGAAAGGAAAAUGUAUCUUUCUCUCCACCAGCAUCAACUGUAAGAGAGAAUUUGGGGCCUGAAGAUUAAAAGAUU